AGAGUUUGAUCCUGGCUCAGAUUGAACGCUGGCGGCAUGCCUUACACAUGCAAGUCGAACGGCAGCGCGGGGCAACCUGGCGGCGAGUGGCGAACGGGUGAGUAAUAUAUCGGAACGUACCCUGGAGUGGGGGAUAACGUAGCGAAAGUUACGCUAAUACCGCAUACGAUCUAAGGAUGAAAGUGGGGGAUCGCAAGACCUCAUGCUCCUGGAGCGGCCGAUAUCUGAUUAGCUAGUUGGCGGGGUAAAAGCCCACCAAGGCAACGAUCAGUAGCUGGUCUGAGAGGACGACCAGCCACACUGGAACUGAGACACGGUCCAGACUCCUACGGGAGGCAGCAGUGGGGAAUUUUGGACAAUGGGCGCAAGCCUGAUCCAGCAAUGCCGCGUGAGUGAAGAAGGCCUUCGGGUUGUAAAGCUCUUUUGUCAGGGAAGAAAC
rnacentral:rRNA from 1 species